rnacentral:rRNA from 1 species
GACGAACGCUGGCGGCGUGCUUAACACAUGCAAGUCGAACGGUGAAGCGCCUUCCUUUUUGGUGGGUGUGGAUGAGUGGCGAACGGGUGAGUAACACGUGAGUAACCUGCCCCCUUCUUCUGGAUAACCGCAUGAAAGUGUUGCUAAUACGGGAUAUUCUGGGUCUGUCGCAUGAUGGGUCUGGGAAAGAUAUUGUUUCGGUGGGGGAUGGGCUCGCGGCCUAUCAGCUUGUUGGUGGGGUGAUGGCCUACCAAGGCGGUGACGGGUAGCCGGCCUGAGAGGGUGGACGGCCACACUGGGACUGAGACACGGCCCAGACUCCUACGGGAGGCAGCAGUGGGGAAUAUGGCACAAUGGGCGCAAGCCUGAUGCAGCGACGCCGCGGGAGGGAUGGAGGCCUGCGGGUUGUGAACCUCUUUCGCCAGUGAAGCAGGCCUGCCUCGUUUGUGGGUGGGUUGACGGUAGCUGGAGAAGAAGCGCCGGCUAACUACGUG